GCUUUGAAAGAUUUGUGCGAUGUUAAAGAAGAUGGUAAAUAUAACAUAACGCAUUUCUACGAUUCUACAGAUAUUCCUAACAUAGUAUUGGUUAAUCCGAUUUACUUGAAGAGACAAGGUAACCUCAUUGUAACGGAUGCCGAUGGCAAAAAUAUUUUUAUAAAUAGAGCGGUAAUAUCCGAUCAUGCGAUAUUUCUAAUCAAUUGGCUAAAGAAAAAAAAAUUGUAUCAUAGUGUUGAAAGCAAUUUAAGGGUUAAAUUUAAUUCAUCAGAUUCUCCAAACCGCCUAUGCAGAAAGAUUAUUAAGGCUGAUGACGCUAGCUAUCAGACUUGCACUUUUCCAAAUAACCACAAAUUCAACGAAGCAGAACAGAGAGGUAAUAACCUUACUGUUAAGGAAAUUAAUAAAGAUGGAACAUUUGUCAGAAGCGAAAUAUAUCAAAACUCCUUUAUAUAUUAUGUAAAUAAGGUCUUAGAACUGACUGGAGAUACCC